rnacentral:rRNA from 1 species
AUUGAACGCUGGCGGCAGGCCUAACACAUGCAAGUCGAACGAGUGGCGGACGGGUGAGUAAUGUCUGGGAAACUGCCCGAUGGAGGGGGAUAACUACUGGAAACGGUAGCUAAUACCGCAUACCAUCUGAUGUGCCCAUAUGGUAUUAACUAGUAGGUGGGGUAACGGCUCACCUAGUCGACGAUCCCUAGCUGGUCCGAGAGGAUGACCAGCAACACUGGAACUGGGACACGGUCCAGACUCCUACGGGAGGCGGCAGUGGGAAAUAUUGCAAAAUGAGGGCAAGCCUGAUGAAGCCAUGCCGGGUGUAUGAAGAAGGCCUUCGGGUUGUAAAGUACUUUCAGCGAGAAGGCGUUACUCGCAGAAGAAGCACCGGCUAACUCCGUGCCAGCAGCCGCGGUAAUUC